UGGGGAAUUUUGGACAAUGGGCGAAAGCCUGAUCCAGCAAUGCCGCGUGUGUGAAGAAGGCCUUCGGGUUGUAAAGCACUUUUGUCCGGAAAGAAAUCCUUGGCUCUAAUACAGUCGGGGGGUGACGGUACCGGAAGAAUAAGCACCGGCUAACUACGUGCCAGCAGCCGCGGUAAUACGUAGGGUGCAAGCGUUAAUCGGAAUUACUGGGCGUAAAGCGUGCGCAGGCGGUUUGCUAAGACCGAUGUGAAAUCCCCGGGCUCAACCUGGGAACUGCAUUGGUGACUGGCAGGCUAGAGUAUGGCAGAGGGGGGUAGAAUUCCACGUGUAGCAGUGAAAUGCGUAGAGAUGUGGAGGAAUACCGAUGGCGAAGGCAGCCCCCUGGGCCAAUACUGACGCUCAUGCACGAAAGCGUGGGGAGCAAACAGGAUUAGAUACCCUGGUAGUCCACGCCCUAAACGAUGUCAACUAGUUGUUGGGGAUUCAUUUCCUUAGUAACGUAGCUAACGCGUGAAGUUGACCGCCUGGGGAGUACGGUCGCAAGAUU
rnacentral:rRNA from 1 species